rnacentral:rRNA from 1 species
GCCCAGACUCCUACGGGAGGCAGCAGUGGGGGAUAUUGCACAAUGGGGGGAACCCUGAUGCAGCGACGCCGCGUGGGUGAAGAAGCGCCUCGGCGCGUAAAGCCCUGUCAGCAGGGAAGAAAAUGACGGUACCUGAAGAAGAAGCCCCGGCUAACUACGUGCCAGCAGCCGCGGUAAUACGUAGGUGGCAAGCGUUGUCCGGAAUUACUGGGUGUAAAGGGAGCGUAGGCGGGAGGAUAAGUUGGACGUAUAAACUAUCGGCUCAACCGGUAGAGGCGUUCAAAACUGUCCUUCUUGAGUGAAGUAGAGGUAAGCGGAAUUCCUAGUGUAGCGGUGAAAUGCGUAAAUAUUAGGAGGAACACCAGUGGCGAAGGCGGCUUACUGGGCUUUAACUGACGCUGAGGCUCGAAAGCGUGGGUAGCAAACAGGAUUAGAUACCCGCGUA